rnacentral:rRNA from 1 species
UACGGAAGGGGCAAGCGUUGUUCGGAAUUAUUGGGCGUAAAGGGCGCGUAGGUGGUUCUGUAUGUCUAUCGUGAAAGGGUACAGCUCAACUGUAGCGAGUCGGUAGAAACUGCAGGACUUGAGGCUGGGAGGGGCUGGUGGAAUUCCCUGUGUAGCGGUGAAAUGCGUAGAGAUGGGGGAGAACACUCGUGGCGAAGGCGGCCAGCUAGACCAGUUCUGACACUGAGGCGCGAUAGCGUGGGGAGCAAACAGG